rnacentral:rRNA from 1 species
UCCGUAGGCGGUGUGGCAAGUCGGGGUGAAUACUCUGGGCGUUAACUCAGAGACUGCCUCCGAAACUGCCGUGCUUGAGUGUGGGAGAGGCGCGUGGAAUUGCAGGUGUAGCGGUGAAAUGCGUAGAUAUCUGCAGGAACACCCGUGGCGAAAGCGGCGCGCUGGACCACAACUGACGCUGAGGGACGAAAGCUAGGGGAGCAAACAGGAUUAGAUACCCUGGUAGUCCUAGCCCUAAACGAUCAGGACUUGGGGUGUCUCGCGUCCGCGAGACGUCCCGGAGCUAACGCGUUAAGUCCUGCACCUGGGGAGUACGGUCGCAAGACUGAA